rnacentral:rRNA from 1 species
GGUAUUUUGACUAUACGAAGGUAUUGAAAUAAGAUUUUAAAUGAGUGCUAAGAGAAUGAUUAAACAAUUAAAAGCUUUCUUUAAUUGAAUAAUUGAAUUUAAUUUUUUAGUGCAAAAGCAAAAAUAAAAAUUAGGGACAAGAAGACCCUAUGAAUUUUUUAUUAAAUUUUAUAAAACUUUAUAUAAAAUUUAAUUUAAUUGGGGUGAUGGAAAAAGAAUAAAUAUCUUUUUUUUAAAGAAAAUUGGUUCCGUUUUUAGCGAUUAAAUGAAAAAAAUACUCUAGGGAUAACAGCGUAAUAAUUUUGGAUAGUUCAUAUAGAUAAAAUAGUUUGCGACCUCGAUGUUGGAUUAGGAUUCUUUUUUGGUGAAGAAGU